GGGACACGUGGUAUCCUGUCUGAAUAUGGGGGGACCAUCCUCCAAGGCUAAAUACUCCUGACUGACCGAUAGUGAACCAGUACCGUGAGGGAAAGGCGAAAAGAACCCCGGCGAGGGGAGUGAAAAAGAACCUGAAACCGUGUACGUACAAGCAGUGGGAGCCUCUUUUAUGGGGUGACUGCGUACCUUUUGUAUAAUGGGUCAGCGACUUAUAUUCUGUAGCAAGGUUAACCGAAUAGGGGAGCCGAAGGGAAACCGAGUCUUAACUGGGCGUUAAGUUGCAGGGUAUAGACCCGAAACCCGGUGAUCUAGCCAUGGGCAGGUUGAAGGUUGGGUAACACUAACUGGAGGACCGAACCGACUAAUGUUGAAAAAUUAGCGGAUGACUUGUGGCUGGGGGUGAAAGGCCAAUCAAACCGGGAGAUAGCUGGUUCUCCCCGAAAGCUAUUUAGGUAGCGCCUCGUGAAUUCAUCUCCGGGGGUAGAGCACUGUUUCGGCAAGGGGGUCAUCCCGACUUACCAACCCGAUGCAAACUGCGAAUACCGGAGAAUGUUAUCACGGGAGACACACGGCGGGUGCUAACGUCCGUCGUGAAGAGGGAAACAACCCAGACCGC
rnacentral:rRNA from 1 species